rnacentral:sRNA from 20 species
GAGGAAGCCCGGUGGGAAUCCGGCGCGGUCCCGCCACUGUGAACCCGGCCCCGGCCGGUGAGCCAGGAACUC